rnacentral:rRNA from 1 species
AGCUAAUACUUGCUUUAAUGCUCCCGACGUGUUACGUCUUGUGAGCAUGUACUUGUUAAGCCUUUAUAAGAAAAAAGUUAAUAACUUAAGGAAUGAUAACAAAGAAGUGACACAUAAAAAGGACUCGUCCCAUUUUCUAGUGUGUAUCAAUCGAGUUUCUGACCUAUCAGCUUUUGAUGUUAGGGUAUUGGCCUAACAUGGCUAUGACGGGUAACGGGGAAUUAGAGUUCGAUUCCGGAGAGGGAGCCUGAGAAAUAGCUACCACAUCUAAGGAAGGCAGCAGGCGCGUAAAUUACCCAAUUCUAAAGAAGAGAGGUAGUGACAAGAAAUAACAAUACAAGGCCAAUCUGGCUUUGUAAUUGGAAUGAUGGGAAUUUAAAACCUUCCCAAAACUCAAUUGGAGGGCAAGUCUGGUGCCAGCAGCCGCGGUAAUUCCAGCUCCAAUAGCGUAUAUUAAAAUUGUUGCAGUUAAAACGCUCGUAGUUGAAUUUCAAAGAAUCGAUAUUUUAAGUAGCACUUUGUAGAUUAAUCCACAUAACUGAUACUACGUAUCGACUUUGUGCGCAUUUUUCUACUUAUGUGUUCUUUUAAUUAAAAUGAUUCUUUUUAAGAUCUUUCUUUUUUGCUUCGGCAUUUUAGGAGAUCUUGUUACUUUGAGUAAAUUAGAGUGUUCAAAGCAAACAGAUUAUAGCAUCUUUAUGCGUUUGAAUACUACAGCAUGGAAUAACAAAAUUGAACAAGUCAGAAUUUUGUUCUUUUUUCUUAUUUUGGCUUAGUUACGAUUAAUAGGAGUAGCUUGGGGGCAUUUGUAUUCAGAUGUCAGAGGUGAAAUUCUUAGAUUUUCUGGAGACAAACAACUGCGAAAGCAUUUGCCUAAAAUACUUCCAUUAAUCAAGAACGAAAGUUAAGGGAGUGAAGACGAUCAGAUACCGUCGUAAUCUUAACCAUAAACUAUGCCGACUAGGCUUUGGAUGAAAGAUUUUAAAAUAAGAGUUUUUUCUCUGAGGAGUUAAAACUCUUAGAUUGCUUCCUUCAGUGCCUUAUGAGAAAUCAAAGUCUUUGGGUUCUGGGGCGAGUAUUCGCGCAAGCGAGAAAGUUAAAAGAAUUGACGGAAGGGCACCACCAGGCGUGGAGCUUGCGGCUUAAUUUGACUCAACACGGGAAAACUCACUAGUUUAAGACAAGAGUAGGAUUGACAGAUUAAUAGCUCUUUCUUGAUUUCUUGGAUGGUGAUGCAUGGCCGUUUUUAGUUCGUGAAUAUGAUUUGUCUGGUUAAUUCCGAUAACGAACGAGAUCUUAACCUGCUAAUUAGCGGCAAAUACGAUAUAUUCUUAUGUGGAAUUGAAUAUAGUUGAUUUGCUUAUUUUGAAGAAAAUAUUGGGAUACGUAAAUGUAUCCCUUUCCCUUUUCUACUUAAUUUGCUUAUCAUACUAUUUCUUUUUUGCGUAAGAAUGUAUUUGCUUGAUUGUAAAGCUUCUUAGAGGAACGAUGUGUGUCUAACACAAG